GCGGCAGCCGAGCGGGUCCGGGGCGGCCCCCAGAUCGCAGGGGCGGCGCGAGGCUGCGGCUCCCCGCCCUGCUCCCGUCCAGGCGGCCGGAAAGAAGUCGGGAUGGGAAGAACCAGACUUUUACGGGAGAGAACCAUCUUUGGAAAAGUGUGCACUUGAAGAGUGAGACCUCAUGGACAGAAACCCAGACAUUUAAAUAUCACUAUAUUUUUUAUGAUUCAAGGAGAAACAAAAUGCUCUUGAUAAAAGUAGAAGAAAGGAAUGAAAAAGGAGAAUGAAAUAAAGCAAUUAGAAAGAGACCGGAUUUAGAUGGGUGCAAGAGCAAUUGAAAUUCUUCACGCUAGGUCAGCCGCAGUGGCUUACCCCGCACUUCAGAGAGGAACUGUUAUGUCCAUACUCUAGAUCCUCCUCCCCACUACCAUGGUGCAGUACCUCCUUCAAUUCAAAGUGGAUAAUCUGGAGCCACCUUCAAAUGGGCAUAUGACCUUGAAGGACAAAUUUACUCUUCCAACCUCACUCUCUUGUCCAGCCCCACCUCCUCUGACUAAGGGCUUACACAUGUGAGACAGUUGCUUUCAAUAAAGGAUCUGGUUGGGUAGAAGAAAUUAA